CCGCAAAUUACGUUCUGAGCGGACCAAUCACAGCACUUGCGAUCCACGUCAACUCGACUCGCAGUUAGAUUCUUUCGGAGCUGCACGUCAGGCUACGGCGGAGGGGUCUACGUAGUUACGUAGUUACUUAAUAUGUAUAUUUUCCUUUUUUCUUUCAGAUUGUUCUUUAAUGUACUGUGGUGCUCUGGUGAUACCAUCAUGUUGAUCAAAACAUUCCUGUCAUCCAGCACCAACCAAGAUCUUUGCCACUGUGAUAAGAUGACAUUCACUUCGCCCGAUGUAAGGCCUGUUCUAAAUCCAUCAAACUUCAGACGAUGGGCGAGGCUGCCCUGACCAGCCACGCAGGGGGAGCCGGCCACAAAGCGGCGGUGCGCAAGCUGAGGGAAGGGAGACUGGCUUAAAAGACCCGGAGAAGAGGAAGCGCACUCCUCCACUGAGGUUGGUGUUGUGGCUCAGCAGGAGUUCCCUCCUCCAGUCGGCCCCGUUGGUGCUGUCGCUGUGCGUCUCUUGCAAGAAGAGAACGUCAAGAUGUUUUAAACAGCUGCUCUCUUCUUGGCAUCUCUGGCUCCAUUCAUGUUUAAGGCUGGCGCAUGCUUCUGCAUCGCUGCGACUGGUUCUAAAAGUCUUGCGUGCGUUGCAGAGCAAUUCGC